rnacentral:lncRNA from 1 species
UGAAAUUUAUGCCUGAAUUGCUAACAUCAACAAAAUCAAGAUUCGGGAGUGACUCGCAGAGAGGCCUCCAUUUUUUCGACAAGAUACAAGUGCGUACAGCAGGUUUAAUUGGAAGCAAUGCAAGUAUAGCGAUGAGGAGUGAGUCAGGUAAAUCACUGAUUCUAUCUACCGCACAAAUAUUCGCUAAUUUUUUUGAAGUCGAAUCCAUAAAAUUUACCAAUGAAUUACAUAAAAACUUGAUCAAAAGCUGGAUGAGGAUGGGAAGGAAGAGCGAUUGAUUACCAAAUACGAUGCACGAAAGACGUUUCAGCUUACUCCAGUGAGGCAGUGACCGGGGUUUUUAGGUUUGCUGGAGAUUUUGACCCGGUAAUAUAGAUUCAUAGGAUCCGAACUCGAUCCAUUAAUAUGCUUGUUUACUCGUGUCUGUUAUGAGUUUAGAAGUUUAUUUAGAGAAUUAUUGGGAUUCCCUCUAAAUAAUUAUAUUUUGUUUUGAAUUUAUUGAAAAUGAUAUUAUUGAAUCGAAGUAGGAUGUGUGAGGCAGAUUUUUUAAGAUUGAUGUUAAAAUAGUUACUAUCCUUAAUAUAAGUUCAGUCAUUUAAAAGGGUCCAAUGCUAGCACAAAUUUAAAAUAUAUUGAUAUUGAUAACAUCAAUUAUAACCAUAGAACAUGAGAAUGAAAUAAUAUAAAAAAAUGUUAUAACUAAAAAUUGUUAACUUUCAUUCUAUAAAAUCAAUUAUAAAUGUAAUUAUGAUUGUGACAUGGGUAUUUAAGUUGAAAGGUAGAGAGGUGGAAAAUGGUAGUGAUUUGAAAAAAAAUAUAAAUUUUUUCCCUAAUCUAGUUGGCGAGGUAUUAUUAGUUGGAAAAUGUUAGUAUUCAGAAAGUAUUCUCAAAUUUUUUUCCAAAUUCAAACAACACUCUAUGAUUGGUUCAAAUUACACUAAUAAUAAUAGGAUCAUUUAUGCACAUCAACUGCCCAAUUAAAAUUAGUCAUAUGUCUAUCACGUCAAAGUAGAAUUUAGCAUUACCCUUAUUAGUUUCACACAUAUUAAUAAUAAUGCCUUUGAAUACACAAAUCACCCAAUUAAAAUUAAUCAUCUAUUUGCCACCUCAUUUGAAAGAAGAAUUGAAACAGAAUUUGAGAUAUAUAACACUACUCUAAAAGAGAAAUGAAUAUGAAAAUUAAUCUGGUUUAAGUUUUUGUAGUUAGGUUGAUAUCAAUUAUAAACUUAAUUGGUUUUGCUUUGUUUGAUUCCAUUUAAAAUUUAACUAUAAAAUUUGUUGUAAUAAUAAAAUGUAUUUUUUAAUUUUAUACUAAUAACAAUAACUAGUUCUGAGACUUGUUUAGCUUAAUUUAAAAAAAGUAACUCAUCGCAUAACAGGAAAAAAUAAAUUAUAAAUAAUAUAAUUUUAAACAUAUAAAUUACCCAAGUGUUUGUACAAUUGUGUGAUAAAAAGUUGCGGAAAAUAGAUGUUAAGAGCAUCUCCAACGGCGUUGGCUAUAAUCGUUGGCUAAAUUGGACCUGUAAGGCUUUAUGUAAAAUUUGCUGAACCUGUAACACAUUUUGCUUCAAUGGUAUUGGCUAUAAUUUAAAAAUAGUAUGUUAUUAAUAUUUUAAAUUGUUAAAAUAGAAUAUAUCAGUUCAAUAUGGUAAUAAAUGAUGUGCAAUCUUCCUACAGAUUUUCUUACAGACCUGUAGAGGUUCGACAAAUUUAGCCAUCCAUAGGAGGUUGGCUAAAAUUAUAGACAACAGGUGGGCGUGGUUGGAGUGUACUUUUUUGACGAUGUUGGCUAUAAUUUUUAAUUAUGGUAUGCCAACUCACAUUUUAGCUAAGGGUACUCUAUGGUUGGAGAUGCUCUUAGAGCAUCUCCAACCAUCUAAAACCCUUGGCUAAAAAGUGAGUUGCUUACCUAAAAUAAAAAAAUUUAGCCAAGAGCUCCAAAAACUCAACUCCAACCAUGCUCACCUGUUGUCUAUAAAUUUAGCCAACCUCCUAUGGAUGACUAAAUUUGUCGAACCUCUACAGGUCUGUAAGAAAAUCUGUAGGAAGAUUGUACAUCAUUUAUUACCAUAUUGAACUGAUAUAUUCUAUUUUAACAAUUUGAAAUAUUAAUAACAUACUAUGUGGGCGUGGUUGGAGUGUACUUUUUUGACGAUGUUGACUAUAAUUUUUAAUUAUGGUAUGCCAACUCACAUUUUAGCUAAGAGUACUUUAUGGUUGGAGAUGCUCUAAGUGAUUGAUUGGUUGGGCUACUAAGCCCAGCUUUUGGGCGUAUAAACCUGAUAUAGUUUAGCCCAACUUUUCGAUUUAUAAAUCCGAUUAGUUUAUUCAAAUUGUUUGUUUAACAAACUUAUAAAUUGAUUCCCGCUAUAUAAGUUGAUUACGUCAGAAUAUAAAAAGUUGAGCAUGCUAGUUUUUUAGUUUCUUAUUAUUAUUUUUUUGAAACUUGAUUUUACAAAUAUGCAGAGAAUGACUUUAAAAGAUAAUCUAUAUAAUUUAUUAUUAUAUUAAAAAUUCUUAUACUUUUUGAAAAUUCUUAUACUUAAUAAAUUGCAAGCACAAAAAAAUUAUUCAGAAUAAAACUUAUCUUUCAUUUAUAAUUAACUUUCUCAUUUAUCAUGACAAAAAAAAAAUUUAACUUCUCAUUUAUAAAUAUUAAGCCCUUCUUUUAUGUUCCGCUUAACGGAUCCUACAUUUGCAGUAGCUUUCAACUUCUGCUCUUAAAAUUUAAAAUAAGUACAUGCCUGUUAUUUUACCAAACAAACCACAACAGCAAAUAUCAUCUCAGGAAAAAAGCCAAAAAGCAGAGUCCGCCAAACACCCAUCUAAUCCAACAAUAGCAAUGGACUUGCAGGCUCAUUAAAUUCCUACUAUCUGGUGGGUGUAUUAGGAAAAGUGCCACCAAAUAUUGCAUUCAUUAUCUAACCAUCAAACUCUGCUACAUUCAUGCAUGAUAGAGUCGAGACAAACUCUCCAACGUUCAGACAAACUCUCCAACAUUCUGAACCUCUGAAAAUCAGAUUCAGCCUCAAAUUUUAGUAGGGAGAGCGAAAUUCGAGUGCUUGAAGAAUACAUAGAUGACACGAAAAUUUUAAAUUAUCUAAGAUACAGGUAGAAAAAAUAGAUAUAUUUCUAAGCUGAAAUCAAUAAGUGAAUAUUCCUGUUUCAAGAUAUGUAAAGAUUAACUAAAGAGAUAACUCAACAUUUAUCCCCUGUUUCUGUUUCAUUGUACAACAGGAGGUUCCGACCAAAAAUACAAGUUCUUUUUAUCACUAAUCACAGAAUUAUAGUGCAACUGAAUUAAAUAGCCAUUCUUCACACUGUUUCUGGAAGCUCCAUUUUACUUCAAUUGAACUAGGACACCAUUCUGAAAGCAUUAACUAAUGCAUCCAAGAUCAAAAUAAUAUUGAAUAACAUUUGAUAAUACACUAAUACUCUAAUAUUUCUUGCUUGUUCCAUCCCAACUUUUCCAAUGGAAUAAAUGUUGUCGCCAACAUAUAGUGCUUGAUCAAACUCCAUAGGGGAAUCCAAGCUUUGAUGUGCAAAUCAAACUUGUUUAUACAAGGUAUGUAUUAAUAGGUCUUAUGGUCCCUCUUACAUGGUCGUGCCAAAGCCAAUAUACAGGAUGAACUAUAGCAAGGACUCCGUUUAACUUGAAAACUAUGAUAUCCCGAAUCAGGCAGUUGAUCGAACCAGCUGUAUUCAGCUACAAAUAAACCAGGCACAAAAUUAAUAAUUUCUCUAAUCAUCCAUUCUGUAUAACCUUGGCGAAAAGUCUGAUCUGAGUGUCUGACAAAUUCGGGUUCAUCACAAGUGUUUGAAUUUACAUACUAAACUGACAAUCUACAUUAGGGAAGUAGGCAUGAUAUCUAGCACCAGCCCACUUCCUUUGGCUCACGGAGAUAAAUAAACCAAUUAAAAUCAUAACUAAUCUAUAUAUCCAUUUAUCUAUAUAUUAUACUAUUAUAACCAGAAUUACACAUCUGUGAAGAGGGAGGGCAGAUUUUGUAUUUUGCCUAAAGGAAGAAGGUAACACUAAUAUCUUUCUUUAUAUGUGAUGGAAACUUAAAGUUGGGUCCCUUCAACUUUCUCACUUUUUGAACAUGUUAAACCAGUCUCUUAUGUUUUCAAAAAUCAUAAAAAACCUCUGAAGUUUCCAGAAAUUACGAACUACUGUACUUGCAGAAAACUAGUCCCUCACAGUUUAGAAAAUUACUGGCCAAUCCUAUGCUUCCAGUUCCAGAAUCUGACAUUUUGAUCCUUUUAGUAAAAUAUAACUUAGAAGUUACUAUUUUUUUUGAAAAAUUAAAAUGUUUCUUUCAAGUUGAAUGAAAAGUUUUUUUGUAAAGACAUGAACUUUAAUUUAAGUUUAUAAACACAAAAUAAAAAUUAAAAAUUACUUAAAGCAGAUAUGAAAAGAAAAAAUAUAACAACUAAGUUGGAUCGUAAAUAUCAGUAGCAUCAAGCAGAGUAAUCCAACUUACAAAAGUUAACGAGAAAGAAACCCAAAAAACAUAAAAAUGCAAAAUAAUUGCCCCCCACCAGUACACAAGUUCUUGGUAACACCAUGUUUGCACAAACGAGUCUGGCAAACCAUCUAAAAGGGAAGGACAGGGCUUUCGCGGCCUAGCAAGAGCAUGCACUGUCCUGACAUAGUUUAAGGCUAUGUAUAACUUUGAGGUCUAGAAUUAAAGUUGCUAAUUGCCAAAAUUAAGGAAAAUAAGUUAUAAAACUAAGAUUCUGAGAUUGCAGCUUAUCAAGAUUCUGCAGACCUCUGCUUACCAAACAAUAGUGUUUAGUGAACAAGGUAAAGAGGUUCGAUGGUGGAAGAAUGUAGAUCUUAAAAGAACAGUCAUGGAAAGGCACGAGAAUGCCACAAUUAUACCCUACUGAUCCACCAAAAUAUAUGAAAAGACAACAACCUGGUGGCAUCUAACCAUAAUAUAAUGAUAAAUUAAAGAGUAGCAUAAACAGAUUUCCUUCACAAAUAGAUAUUGAUUACCUACUUUACAAAAAAAAAAAACAAGAUAUUUAUAACUAGGAAACCAAAUACCAAGACAAAUAAACACAAACCUAAGAGAGGAUGGACCAAAAUUAAUGAUAGAAUGAGUCUUUAAGGUCAGCAAGUAAGACGAGCAAUCCAGACACAACUUCAUCUACUUAUCACUCAUUUUCACCCGUAACCUAUAAAAGAUUGGAUCUUAAUCUGUGGCUCCACGAAGCACCUCUAUGGUGCUAGGACAAGGUGUGACAUUGCUGCGCAUCUUAGCUAUUUUCCACUUUCUAGAUAUUGGAAUCCAUGUAAAUUCACACUAUUUAAACUAAAAACAGGUUCCAUAUCUAACAAGAAAGCAAAAGAAUUACACAAUCAACAAAAUAUCAUUCUUAAACAAUGCAUCAAAUAUCAUUCUUAAACAAUGCAUCUUGUUAAUAUUUCAUGCCACAGUGAAAGGCUAAAAUAACAAUGCUGGGAGAAAAACAUUGUAGCAAAAACUAAUAAUAAUAUAAAAGAAAAACAGCGCUUAUUACAGAAAAUUUACCUCAUACACUUUGUGAUUAUAAGAAGCAUUUCCCAUUUUCAUCUAUAAGAUUAAGCUUGCAAGUUGUUGAUUCGGUCUGUAAGUUUAACAGUUCUUGCCAGGCCUCUGCAUCUUUUGACAAAUUUGAAAUUUCAAUUGAUACACUCCGCAAAGCACUCCCAUAAGCUAGCAGGUAUUUAACAAAUGCCAACUCCUCAUUUAUUCCAUGGAAUUUUCUAAUAUAUACUGUUUUAAGAUGUGCGCAUAAGCAUUUUGGAACCCGUGAUUGUGACCAGCCCCAUGAGCGGCGAAAAGAUUCAUGAAGGGAAGUACAAACAAGACCCUGCCAACAAGAAAGAGCAAAGUGUUAAAUUCUAAGUUCAGUGUCCUUCUUGACAAAUACGUCAGAUCUCAGUUUUUAAACUCACCUGCGGAAAUUCAAGACUUUCAAGCUUCGCUGAGUUUUGAAGGAAGUCAUCCAGUAAAGUUUCAUGACAAUAAUCUUUAACAUUAAUUAACAACUUAGUCAAGUUAUGAAACGGAGGAAACUCAUAGUGACCUGUUCUUAACUCAUUAUCAUAUGCAAGGCUGACGAUCUUCAAAAUAAGAAGGAAAAGCGUGAGAGUCACAUAAAUUCACAGCAAAGAUAAAAAUUAGUUCAAGUAAGUUAGGAUUUAGGCAUGACACUAACCUGCACAGUGUGAUCUGACAAAUUCAAAAUUUUGACGUGAUUAAUCUUUUUAAGCAGCCCAAACACGCAAUCAACUCCUCGUGGUAUCUCAUUAUUAUAGAUGUCGAUUACAGCUAUCUUGAGGAAUGGCAAGUUGCCCUUGAACAAAAUAUCAUUAUCACCGCAUGUGUAAGAACAAAUUUUAAGACUCUCUAAUCUCGGUGUAUCAAUCAAAGUCCGAAGCACAAAUUCUUCAUCAUCUGAACUAAGACAAUAUGACAACCGCUUCAAUGCAGAUCCACAAAUACUGAAAGAGUUGCCCGUAAGCCAUUUACAGUGGACAAUAUCCAAAUCUUCAAGCACAGGACAGUUUAACAAAAGCUUCCCAACUGACUCAUAGCUCGAAAUUCUAACGUUGUGGAAGCUAAGUACCCGAAGCCUCGAAAACUUAACAUUCUCCGGAAUCUCAAGUAAUAUUUUCCCACGGAGUAGAAGAACUUCAACACCAGUACACAUGUAAAAAAAGUCUUGAACCAAUUCACACAAGUCUGGAAAUGAAAUAACAAGGACUAUCGCUUUCAAAUCACGCCCAACAGCAUUCAUAAUCCACUCAUCAACGCGGUCCCUGUAGUAAUCUCCACCAGAACAAAUUAACCGGAAUUUUGUGAUUUUCAAAUCAUUCAGCCUACGCAUCAAAAACUUAUCAACAAAGUUGGUGAAAUUUAUGCCUGAAUUCCUAACAUCAACAAAAUCAAGAUUCGGGAGUGACUCGCAGAGAGGCCUCCAUCUUUUCGACAAGAUACAAGUGCGUACAGCAGGUUUAAUUGGAAGCAAUGCAAGUAUAGCGAUGAGUAGUGAGUCAGGUAAAUCACUGAUUCUAUCUACGUCACAGAUAUUCGUUAAUUUUCUUGAAGUUGAAUCCAUGGACCAUGAUAGG